UACGGAGGAUGCAAGCGUUAUCCGGAAUGAUUGGGCGUAAAGCGUCCGCAGGUGGCUAUGUAAGUCUGCUGUUAAAGAGUCGUGGCUCAACCAGAUAAAGGCAGUGGAAACUACAUGGCUAGAGUGCGUUCGGGGCAGAGGGAAUUCCUGGUGUAGCGGUGAAAUGCGUAGAGAUCAGGAAGAACACCGGUGGCGAAAGCGCUCUGCUGGACCUUAACUGACACUGAGGGACGAAAGCUAGGGGAGCGAAUGGG
rnacentral:rRNA from 1 species